AUGUUGCAACUGGAUUAGGAUUGCUGGGCAAUUCUCCUUUGGCAGCAAGAAUUCGGGUUGCAUCUUCUUCCAUCUGCCAAAGGAGAGUUCACCCAGUAAUCCACCACCCCGUUCCCCGUGGCCGAACUGCUGUGCCCUUCCCAGGUUGGCGUUUGGCGGUGUAUAUAAGCCUGUGGUGAGACUAUGAUCGUGUUAGCAUAUGCGCAUAUCCCAAACGAACACAUAGUUGAAGCUGUGGAACAUCAAGCACACAUCGAAGACAAGUGCGAUCGAGGAAACCAGGAGAUCUCAAAUCUUCUUCGAUAAUGUAGUGAGAAGAGCACCCAUUUGGAAGAUCCAGGAGAAUGUUCCACGACCAGUAACAACAGGCAUCUGCUUCAGCUUGAGCAUCGCCAGUACAACAACAGAACGAGAAGGACCUCUACCUCUAACUUUUGGAGGACUGCACUUCUGUGGCGCAACUCAAGCUAGAGGAAAGGCAAAAAGGAGAAAGGGAAGAAAGCUCCUCGAGAAUAGUCCUGACGAGCAAGCAUAUGCUGCAGCAUAUCCCGAUAUGAUCCGUGGCGCCGCGAACUAUAAGUGCCUCCUAGUGACUGAGACAUGAUCUCAAGACAGUAAGAGGAGAGAAACAAGAAGCUGGAGACGCAGGAGGGGGUGUGAGAAUGACAGUGCAGUUCUUCUUUGGCAAGGAGUCAAAGCUGGUCCAAACGCACGCUUAAUUACCCUCCUUGCCAAAGGAGAAUUGCCCUGCCAUUUUCUGCCCCCGCAGUCGAUCGCUCACGAGAAGUUUGUCGAAUUGCAAAUUCAGAAGGAAGUAUAUCUCUCUGUAAGUAUCAGUGUCUUGCAGCCUUGUUUGGAUGAGAUCAUGGUGUAGCCGUCGGGUACUAUGCCGAUCUGAUCUUGCCUUUGGUAUGUAUCAUGAGAAACAUGAAACGGAUUCUGCGGCGAAGACACUCUGUGGUGGCAGUAAGAGACAACAUGAAUAUGCUGAAGUGUUCAUCAGUUUGUUCAUUUGAAUUUGGAUAAAUAUGCGAAACUAUAUGAUAACACACUAAACAAAGAACCAAACUAAAGUUUUGAACAUCACUAAUUGUUGGGUCCAGCCCAUACGUGGGCUUGGACAAUUGGGCCUGUUGAUCCCAAAUCAGAGAGAAAGGGUAAAAUUGGGCAGCGUGCAGGGUGUGUGUGCGCGCACAGUGAAAUUGCAGCGUGCAGCCUGCGGCGU